rnacentral:rRNA from 1 species
CCUACGGGAGGCAGCAGUGGGGAAUAUUGCACAAUGGGGGAAACCCUGAUGCAGCGACGCCGCGUGAGUGAAGAAGUAUUUCGGUAUGUAAAGCUCUAUCAGCAGGGAAGAAGAAAGACGGUACUUGACUAAGAAGCCCCGGCUAACUACGUGCCAGCAGCCGCGGUAAUACGUAGGGGGCAAGCGUUACCCGGAUUUACUGGGUGUAAAGGGAGCGUAGACGGCUGUGCAAGUCUGAAGUGAAAGCCCGGGGCUCAACCCUGGGACUGCUUUGGAAACUGUGGAGCUAGAGUGCUGGAGAGGUAAGUGGAAUUCCUAGUGUAGCGGUGAAAUGCGUAGAUAUUAGGAGGAACACCAGUGGCGAAGGCGGCUUACUGGACAGUAACUGACGUUGAGGCUCGAAAGCGUGGGGAGCAAACAGGAUUAGAUACCCCAGUAGUC